GCGAGUUACUGAAAAAACUUUUCCUCCCCAAAUUAACCUUCAACCGGAACCUAUAUACCAAUCUCAUCCCUUAGAACAUCCGCAGAUAUCAAAAGCCCUAAAUAUUCCUUCGGUUCCUCCUCUCCGCCUUCUCCUCAGCCGAUUCGAUCUUCCGUUAAAAAAUUUUAAGUCCGUUAUCCUAAAUCUUCCUUAGGUUCCGCCUUCUCUCCGCCUUAUUUCAAUUCUUAUUACGUUACGCCUUCCCACGAUGUUAAGCCAUAAAUUUCCAAAGAUGAUUGUUCUUGCCCUAAUCAUAAUCUCUGCGCAUCCGUCAUCAUCUCCUCAGCUGUUUGAAAUUUGGCAUCGGUCAAGGAUUGUCCGAAUCAGUGCUUGCUUCAAUUCUUCGUAUUGUUCCUUUUUCUGUUUCAUCAGGGUUAUUAUGGGCAGUGUUAGCAACUAUGUAGUUAACAAUGGAGCAUGCCCCGUCACCGUAGUCAAGAGCGUAGAAGCACAUGAAGGCUAGAUGAUAAUUCUAAACUUUCCAAUGGUAGAGUGAAGAAGUUGCUUGCGCAAGGUGUAUCUCAAAUCGAUAUCAUGAAAAAAAAACCUUAUCAGGCAUAUUGCAUACAAUUGUAUUUAACACAGCACUGGGACUUGUUCGGCCAAAAAAUGUAGAUUGUGAACUUUUUGAAAUUACUCAUGUGAGUAAUUCUCCACCUUUAAUGUACAUGAUAUAUAGGUCAUUCUGUUGCUCAUUCCAAAGAAAUGAAUCUUGUGAACUUGUAUAAGAAAACUGGACAAAUCAACAUCUACACAUAUUUUGGUCUGCUGAAAAAAUUUUAACUGAGUUAAAUGAUCCCAUGCUUGCAAGGAAUCCCAAAAACAAAGAGAGGUAACUUUUACUUUAGAUGAAAUAUUAUCUGUUUUGCAACAAUCUGAGAAUUCUCUUCUGCAGCCACAACUGGCGCAAGCCUAGCACAAAUAGAUAUUUGUCACUGUUAUGAUUCACCUAACGUGUGUGUGAAUGAAAAGUGCAAGCUGCAAAUUCCUCUCUAUAACUCAGCUAUUAAUUUUGUUAUAAAUAUUUUCCGUACUCAGUGAAAAACUUAUGCAUUAACUAAAUAUUAGUAUAAAUACAAUUCGUGUUAAGCUAGGAAUUUAGGAACUUCAGAAAUGCAAGUGGACGUGAAGUCGGAUAUCUACCUAAGGCCUAUUUUUACAUACUAUGAAUAUCAGAAAUAUUUGAGGGUGCUUCAGCAUUGCUGCCAUUUUAUCAUUUAGCCAAACUGAUGCGUGAUUUAAGACAUGAGGUUACCAUACAAAAUUUGGAUCUUUACCCAGCUGAAGAUAAAACAUGUUUCCGUUUGAUAGAUCUAUCAUCACUUUGAAUAAAAGUAAUAACCCGAAUUGCUAAGAAUAAAAGUAAUAACAUUACAUUAUUUUCUUGGUAUUUUCUUGGUAUUUGCUUCUCAUAUAUUGCAGAUAAACGUGUGUUAAAACUGCUUUUAUGAAGGAGCUGAUACAAGUGAAACUGACAGAGAUGGAAAUACAGUCUUCAACUUGUACCUGAAAGCAAUUCCUUUUCAUUGUAAUCUAAGUAUUUGAUGAGAGGACUUUCAAGUAGACCAUAAUCAUGGCAUAUUUUGGGUUGCGAAAAAGGAGUUAAUUGAGUUACAUGUACCUAUGUUUGCAAGUUAUCACAAAAACAGAGAGAGCAUCAAACUGAUGCAAUCUUAGCACGAAUAUGGAGGUUUUUUGCUGAUUCUCUGUAUUUAUUUUACGUAACUUGUGCAAGAGGUGUCACGACAGCUUUAUCAAUAAGGAGGGUGAGCUAAGUCAUGGAUCGAUUGAACCCAAGUUGUGUCUCCUUUCAGAACCUUAACAGUCAAAUAUCAGAAGGCUUUAAUUGGAGGCCAAAUACUCUCUGUUGACUCAGGAAUGUGGAAGACAACAUAGCAAUCAACUCUAAAGCAGUCAACAAUUGCAAUCAAUUUCCAAGAGCAGACUUCAUGAGCACUAUAAUUCCUCAAUCUAAAGGGAUUAGCCACUUAUUGCUACUAAAAUUUUAGUACGGUACUUUAAACUUUUGAUGCUAAAGGAGUUCGAUAUCAAAAGUGUUGUCCGACAUUUAAUUGAAUUGAAGUUAUCCUAUUCUCUUA